rnacentral:rRNA from 1 species
UACGAAGGGAGCUAGCGUUGUUCGGAAUCACUGGGCGUAAAGCGCACGUAGGCGGAUUUGUCAGUCAGGGGUGAAAUCCCGGGGCUCAACCUCGGAACUGCCUUUGAUACAGCAAGUCUUGAGUUCGAGAGAGGUGGGUGGGAUUCCUAGUGUAGAGGUGAAAUUCGUAGAUAUUAGGAAGAACACCGGUGGCGAAGGCGGCCCACUGGCUCGAUACUGACGCUGAGGUGCGAAAGCGUGGGGAGCAAACAGGAUUAGAAACCCCUGUAGU